rnacentral:rRNA from 1 species
UUUAUUGGAGAGUUUGAUCCUGGCUCAGGACGAACGCUGGCGGCGUGCUUAACACAUGCAAGUCGAACGGGACUGAU